rnacentral:rRNA from 1 species
CGGGGGGAGCAAGCGUUGUUCGGAUUUACUGGGCGUAAAGGGCGCGUAGGCGGCCACCGCAAGUCGACUGUGAAAUCUCCGGGCUUAACCCGGAAAGGUCAGCCGAUACUGCGGGGCUAGAGUGCAGAAGGGGCAACUGGAAUUCUCGGUGUAGUGGUGAAAUGCGUAGAUAUCGAGAGGAACACCUGCGGCGAAGGCGGGUUGCUGGGCUGACACUGACGCUGAGGCGCGAAAGCUAGGGGAGCGAACGGGAUUAGAUACCCCGGUAGUCCUAGCCUUAAACGAUGAAUGCUUGGUGUCUGGGGUUUUAUAGUCCCCGGGUGCCGUCGCUAACGCUUUAAGCAUUCCGCCUGGGGAUACGGUCGCAAGACUG